CGCUUUUCGAUAAUUAAUUAAAAGUAUAGCCUGCCCACUGAAGGAUUGAAGGGCCGCAGUAUUUUGACUGUGCAAAGGUAGCAUAAUCAUUAGUCUUUUAAUUGAGGGCUUGUAUGAAUGGCUGGACGAAAUAUUAGCUGUCUUGGUAGAUUUAUUUUGAAUUUAAUGUUUAAGUGAGAAAGCUUAAAUAUAGUUGUAGGACGAGAAGACCCUAUAGAUCUUUAGAAUUGAACUAUUAACAUUAUUAUAAUGAAUACAUUUUUAAUAGGUAAUUUUUUUUGUUGGGGUGACAGGUAAAUAAAUUAACUUUUUUUGUUUGUAACAUUGAUUAAUGAAUAAAUUAAGAUCCGUUUUUAACGAUUGUAAGUUUAAG
rnacentral:rRNA from 1 species